rnacentral:rRNA from 1 species
UACGGGGGGGGCAAGCGUUGUUCGGAAUUACUGGGCGUAAAGGGCUCGUAGGUGGCCAACUAAGUCAUACGUGAAAUCCCUCGGCUUAACCGGGGAACUGCGUCUGAUACUGGAUGGCUUGAGGUUGGGAGAGGGAUGCGGAAUUCCAGGUGUAGCGGUGAAAUGCGCAGAUAUCUGGAGGAACACCGGUGGCGAAGGCGGCAUCCUGGACCGACACUGACGCUGAGGAGCGAAAGCCAGGGGAGCAAACGGG